rnacentral:lncRNA from 10 species
ACAAGGAGUUAAUUAUUGUUUAUUUUUCAAGGGACUCAAUCUAGCACAAAGGCAGACACACUCUCAUGGGAGCUUAUAAGUAACAUUAACAGCUCGAUUAAGUGCAAUGGAAGUACAGAGAGGUAGUGGAGAUGCACGAGGAGUUAAUAAUUGUUUAUUUUUACAAUAAUGGAUUACAAAGUUCUUUCCCCAAAAUGCCAGUUGUUUUAGAGAGUAAUUUGUUUUGUUUUCUUUAAUGAUCUAAAUUGAUAAACCAGGGAAUGGUAGGUAGGUUUCAAUGCCGAGUUCAUUGAAUGGAUUGGUGUGUCUCUGCAGAACACCUUGCUGAGGAAGAUUCUGAGGUUGUGUUUGGUUUUAACAGGAUAUGGUGCUGUGAUUAGUUGGUUGUCAUUGAUGCCUUGUGUGGAGGGAGGAACAGCAUGCAUGCCACAAACGUGCCUAGUCUGGAGUGGAUAUAGCCCAAGGAUGAAUCAUUAAUGCAGAGUUAAAACAGAGCUCAAUGCAUGGACUUCCUCAGCCCCAACUGUGAACUACAGCAGAAUCCCCUUGUGCCAGGGCUCCAUCUUACAUUGAUUUGUGUACCGUGUAGUUCAAAGGCUAGUUCCUGAAAUACUAAAAAUGCUUAGAGGAAAAGUCAGAGAUAAUAAUACAUUAGAACAUUGAAGUCCAUGUAGACCCCCCAACCUGUGAUUUAUAAAGGGUCUCUACUGCAUUUAGAUAUUCCAUCCCAAGAAACAAUAAAAAUAAAACCUUCCCACCACUUUGCUAUAAGGCUUUGAAAAUGACCUAUGGCCUAUCAGCAGGUAUAGACUUUAGGGGAUUAUCUUCAAACUGUGGAUUUACCAAACAAGAAGUGGGAAUUUUUGAGUAGAAAUUACAGUAUCUGCCUAGAGGUGUGGCAUAUGUGUGCUUGUUGGGAAAUGGAAUUCCCAGUUAAUCCUGGAAGACCGGAGGCCCAGCCAGGCCAUCCUGACAGCUGGUUGCCAGGCAGCCUCUGGUGAUGAUGUACAAGAACAUACUUAUCACCCCAGGGCUCUGGGGGAAAGUGAGAUACCAUGACUAGAGUGCUAUAAAGCUGUCUGGCUAUUUGGGAGUAUUAUUCUUAUUAAAUUAAAGUUCUAUUAAAAGGAAACAUGUUACUAUUUAGAUUUCUGUCUGCUUGGCAGCGUUUGCUUCAUAAAUCUUGCAGGAGAAAAUUGGCCCACUGGAACUGGAUGUUGGAUAUAGCAUUUCUUCAACAUCAAGAAAAUGGCCACACAUUUUUUUAAUUGUUUCCCUUGCAAAUAAUUUUUAAAUAGUCUUACAAAAAUGUUUUUCUUGCUUCACUCCCCAGUGAGUUAAAAAUGCACACCGACAUUGCCAGUUGGCAUAAUGUGUUGUGAUUCCAGCAGACAGCAAUGGGAAUGUAUGAAGUGAUGGUUGAGGUGAAGGACAGCGGAACUGCUUUUUCUUGCAGCAUGCAGUAUGCAAAAUGAUCCUUUUUAUUUUUAACUAAUUCCUUAAAGCAAAAGCUCUUCCCACCCACGAGUGUUGCCUAAUUGGGGGACAUGGAAAAUGAAUGAAGAAACAAUCCUCAAACAAGGAGUGUUUGCUGCUCCCAUUUCAGCACUAAUUAAUUACUGUUGUCAGUAAACUGAAAGUGUUCAUGGAAUUACAUUUUCCAGAGCCUUCACCUGGAUCUAAAGCUGGAUUUGAGGUAUGUUGCUCCAGGCUUCAAACGGUGGUGGGGCACAAUCACAGGCCAUGGGAGCUCCAGAUCCACAGCCCUUUGGUGUAAAGGACGAUGUGUGUCAGUGUUUGCUUGUGGUUCUGAAAUGAGACGCUUUCCUACUUCAAUUACAUUGUGGUGGCUCAAGCAUUACAAGAUAAGCCUCAAAUAGGAGUGUAGCCUUACCAGAAACGAAAGUAUGUGUUUGAGUUUCCAGAUUCAAUAGUCAUAUGUUGACACUUUGAACUACGAGCUGUUCCAUGUUUGGGGCUUGAUAGGCAGAAACUGAAAGAGGCAGAGAUUUGGUUCUGAAACACUCCCAACUCCCUCGUAGCCAUUUUCUGUUUGUUUUCUUUAAGCCCUGGUCCUCUGCUUUGCCACCUGUAAACCAUUCUUUUCCCCACCUUUAAGCCAUUCUGUGCUCCAGUCCAUAGGGGUGUAGUCCCACAGUAAAAGGUAUUGGAUGGGGAGUUCUUUCAUUCAUUGAUU